UACGGAGGGUGCAAGCGUUUGUCCGGAUUUAUUGGGUUUAAAGGGUGCGUAGGCGGCCCUGUAAGUCAGUGGUGAAAUACUGCAGCUUAACUGUAGCAUUGCCAUUGAUACUGUAGGGCUUGAGUACAGAUGAGGUAGGCGGAAUUGAUGGUAUAGCGGUGAAAUGCAUAGAUACCAUCAAGAACACCGAUUGCGAAGGCAGCUUACUAGGCUGUAACUGACGCUGAGGCACGAAAGCGUGGGGAUCGAACAGG
rnacentral:rRNA from 1 species